GGAGCCUGGAGGGGCACCGGCCACGGGCAGGGGAGACAGAGGCGGGCACAGCCUGGCGGGGUCCGGGCUGAGCCAGCGGGGAGGACGGGGCUGUGGGAGCCCAGCGGAGAGGGUGAGGAUCCGCGGGCAGGUGGGACAGGUGAGCUGGGAGGUGAGAGAUGGGCAGGGCUGCCUGAAAGGCAAGUUCAUCCCAGAGCAGCGAGCAGGGCGCAGCCAAAGGCCGUGGGGGAAACAGCGGCGAGAAAAAAACGGCCAAAAUUCUGCCCGCAGUGCGCCUGUAUCCUAGCGGGGCGGCCACAAAAAUAUUGUUGAGUAGCAAGAAGUGUUUCGAAAGUGUGCAGUGGGUAAAGUGUGAGAAAAUAAAGCAGAUUUAAUCAAGAGGAACGGAGUCCUCAGGGCUGGCUGGAGAGGAGCGUGGUUUCAAGAACGCGGUCAGGAAAGGACUCGCUGAGAAGAAAUUUGGCGCCCAAACGUUCCUGGCACCGCCCGCGGCUGCUGAUUGGCUCAAGCCCGUAGGAUUCCUCUGGGCCUGAAGGUGCGGGGAGGGACUUGCACUUUCAGCUCCUGAUUGGCUGUGCGUCAGCUCCCAGAGGCAAGUGUCCGUGGGGGAAAGCUCCAUCUGCCUCGCAGAUCUGCUGCGUAAUAGGCACCUGAAGCUGCUGAUUGGCUACUAAAGAGGCCUGUGCAGCCACUGAUUGGCUGUGGGGUAGACGCACAACGUGCGAGGCGCGCGGGCUGGGCCCAGGGCGACAGCGGAGCCUUCACACCGCUUUCUCCGCGCGCUGAUGGAGGAUUCCUGGCCUCACAGCAGUGCCUGGCCUGUGGGCGUCCCCGGCAGUCCUCGGCUGCGGGACCUGUAUCGGGACUGCGCAAAGUGGGCUUCCAGGAGAGCAGGGCGUCCCUCAGUCAGCUGACCCCUUGGAGCGUGGGGCAGCCCAGGCCCGUGAGGCCGCCAGUGUCACCCUCAGGCCCGCGAGGCCCCCGAGCCCCUUGUGGGGUCCAAGGCCCAUUCUGGAUCAGUCACGAGGCAAGACCGCGGACCCUCAGGAGAUCACCAGGAGCCCGCCGCGCAUUCCUCCGCCUCCACCACGCCAGUCACCUGCUCAGCCCGAGGGCAGCCAGCGGCCGUCGCCCCAGUGAGGCGGCCGGUGAGGAGCUGAGGCCGUGACCAGGGCAGCGCCCCGCGAGUCAGCGUCAGUCCCCGCGCCAGCCAGUUCCUCAGACAAUCAGCUCACCAUUCCCAUCGCGUAUGCUGGGAAAUCAUCAAUAUACCCGCUGUCAUGUUCUCUCAGGAAGCCCCAAAACCUGUGAAACUAACCUGUGCUUGCAGCUCUGCUUGCUGCCAGAAACAAAGGCUGGGAGCCAGCAACAGGAACCAGCCAGGGGAUGAGUUCAGCCCAGACGUGCUGCCUGGACCUGGAUUCCUGCCUCAGUGCAGGCCUUGACCUGAUUUCUUGCUUCAUUACCAUACUAAAAUCUCCACUCAGGGGCGAGAACUAUGCCUUGCUAGGCACAGAAGGUGCCAAGUACAAAAGAAAACACAAGAGUGUGCACACUUCAGCCCCUCCUGAAGGAACCCACCUUUUUCCAGAUCUGCCCGCCUCAGUCUCCAACUACCUGCCCUAAGGGCCCUUAAGAUCCCCUUUUACCAACCCCUGGGAGAAGGUGCUUUGCACAUGAACUCCCUUUCUCCAUUUCUUGAUCAAUGAAUAAAGUUUCUUCUCCGCUUUGCCGAUUCUGGUCUCAUUCUAUUGGCGUAAGUGGCAGGGGGCAGAGAAAGGACCCACUAGGGCCAACUCACCCCUCCAAGGGUGGGUAACAUUUGCAGCAAAACUCCUCAAGAGGUUGUUUGUCGUCACUCUUCCUACCUUCCUUUCUUCGGUUAUUUUCCAAACGAGCUUCCAAUCAAGUCCCCCACCCUUUCACACAUGUUCAUCAAAGCUGCCAUUGCCAGUUAUCUCAGACGUAAACAAAAUCAACUCAAUAUGGAUUAAAGAUGGAAAUGUAAGGCCUGAAACUGUAAAACUCCUUGAAGAAAACAGGAGAAAAAGCUUCUUGACAUUAUCUGGGCUCAGAUUUUUUUAGAUACUGUAAAC
rnacentral:lncRNA from 10 species